UACGAAGGGUGCAAACGUUGCUCGGAAUUAUUGGGCGUAAAGCGCACGUAGGCGGCUUUGCAAGUCGGAUGUGAAAUCCCUCGGCUCAACCAAGGAAGUGCAUCCGAAACUGCAGAGCUUGAGUACUUAAGAGGAUCGCGGAAUUCCCGGUGUAGAGGUGAAAUGCGCAGAUAUCAGGAAGAACACCCGUGGCGAAAGCGGCUCUCUGGAACGGUACUGACGCUGAGACGCGAAAGCGUGGGGAGCGAACAGG
rnacentral:rRNA from 1 species